GUAGCCUAAUACAUGCAGUCGAGCGAAUGGAUUAGAGAAACUUGACUCUUAUGAAGUUAGCGGCGGACGGGUGAGUAACACGUGGGUAACCUGCCCAUAAGACUGGGAUAACUCCGGGAAACCGGGGCUAAUACCGGAUAACAUUUUGAACCGCAUGGUUCGAAAUUGAAAGGCGGCUUCGGCUGUCACUUAUGGAUGGACCCGCGUCGCAUUAGCUAGUUGGUGAGGUAACGGCUCACCAAGGCAACGAUGCGUAGCCGACCUGAGAGGGUGAUCGGCCACACUGGGACUGAGACACGGCCCAGACUCCUACGGGAGGCAGCAGUAGGGAAUCUUCCGCAAUGGACGAAAGUCUGACGGAGCAACGCCGCGUGAGUGAUGAAGGCUUUCGGGUCGUAAAACUCUGUUGUUAGGGAAGAACAAGUGCUAGUUGAAUAAGCUGGCACCUUGACGGUACCUAACCAGAAAGCCACGGCUAACUACGUGCCAGCAGCCGCGGUAAUACGUAGGUGGCAAGCGUUAUCCGGAAUUAUUGGGCGUAAAGCGCGCGCAGGUGGUUUCUUAAGUCUGAUGUGAAAGCCCACGGCUCAACCGUGGAGGGUCAUGGGAAACUGGGAGACUGAGUGCAGAAGAGGAAAGUGGAAUCCAUGUGUAGCGGUGAAAUGCGUAGAGAUAUGGAGGAACACCAGUGGCGAAGGCAACUUUCUGGUCUGUACCUGACCCUGAGGCCCGAAAGCGUGGGGAGCAACAGGAUAGAUCCCUG
rnacentral:rRNA from 1 species